rnacentral:rRNA from 1 species
AACGAACGCUGGCGGCAUGCCUAACACAUGCAAGUCGAACGAGACCUUCGGGUCUAGUGGCGCACGGGUGCGUAACACGUGGGAAUCUGCCCUUUGCUUCGGAAUAACAGUUAGAAAUGACUGCUAAUACCGGAUGAUGUCGAAAGACCAAAGAUUUAUCGGCAAAGGAUGAGCCCGCGUAGGAUUAGGUAGUUGGUGGGGUAAAGGCCUACCAAGCCGACGAUCCUUAGCUGGUCUGAGAGGAUGAUCAGCCACACUGGGACUGAGACACGGCCCAGACUCCUACGGGAGGCAGCAGUGGGGAAUAUUGGGCAAUGGGCGAAAGCCUGAUCCAGCAAUGCCGCGUGAGUGAUGAAGGCCUUAGGGUUGUAAAGCUCUUUUACCAGGGAUGAUAAUGACAGUACCUGGAGAAUAAGCUCCGGCUAACUCCGUGCCAGCAGCCGCCGCAGUAA